rnacentral:rRNA from 1 species
AGGACGAACGCUGGCGGCGUGCUUAACACAUGCAAGUCGAGCGGUAAGGCCUUUCGGGGUACACGAGCGGCGAACGGGUGAGUAACACGUGGGUGAUCUGCCCUGCACUUCGGGAUAAGCCUGGGAAACUGGGUCUAAUACCGGAUAUGACCUCCUAUCGCAUGGUGGGUGGUGGAAAGAUUUAUCGGUGCAGGAUGGGCCCGCGGCCUAUCAGCUUGUUGGUGGGGUAAUGGCCUACCAAGGCGACGACGGGUAGCCGACCUGAGAGGGUGACCGGCCACGACUGGGACUGAGACACGGCCCAGACUCCUACGGGAGGCAGCAGUGGGGAAUAUUGCACAAUGGGCGAAAGCCUGAUGCAGCGACGCCGCGUGAGGAUGACGGCCUUCGGGUUGUAAACCUCUUUCAGCAGGACGAAGCGCAAGUGACGGUACCUGCAGAAGAAGCACGGCUAACUACGUGCCAGCAGCCGC